AAGGAAAACAGUUGUAUUAUUCGCCUAUUUGGGAAAAGAAAAUGAGACACAUGUCAUUUUUCACACUGUAAAUCACUCUCCUCCUGCAGUUCUGCUUCUUCCGUUGUUCAGAAUUCAGAUCUUCCAUUGGUCACCACCGUUUGCAAGCUGCAGCUGCACCACCAGGCUUCUCACUCACACGUCGGCGUCGCACAGCUCCGGCGCCCCGCCAGUCCGCCACUGGACUCGCAUCUAAUUAGGUAGCUUUUGAGGAUUAGCGAUGCGGAAAUAUCGUUCCUUAUCUUUUCAAAUUGGUCAGUUGGCAGAGGCAAGGACUUUUGAAAAGGGUUACCGUGGUGCGUGGUUUCGGUGUAAGAUAAAGAAAAUUACCAGAAAGAAAGGCCGAAUUGUAGCAUAUGUUGUAGAAUAUUAUGACUACCCAGAGGAAUCUGAAGAAACAAUAACACUUUAUGGCCUCCCCUCAGAGAGCAGCAGCGGCCACAAGGCAAAAAAGGAGCUGAUGUUGCGCCCACACUUUCCAGCUUUUUUUCGUGAAAGGGAAUUACCUGAUGUAAACUUGAUCUCAGAAGUUAUAGUUGCAGUUACUGAUGUUUGGAGAGUUGGGGAUUUGGCUGACUGGUUCUCUGAUGGCUGUUUCUGGUCAGGAACAAUUACUGAAAUUAUGGAUGAUGACAUGGUUCAGAUUAAAUUGUUAGAGCCACCCAGAGGUGAAGGAUCAUCCUAUAAUGUCAACUGCAAGGAUCUCCGCCCAUCCUUGGAUUGGUCUCCUGAAUUUGGUUGGACAGUCCCUGUACCCUCGGAAACUCCAAAUGGACAUCUUCAUGCUCGUUUGAUUCAGCCUGUGAAGCAAGCCCCACCUGUAAAAUCGUUGGUUGAUAAGAUGGAUGAAGACAAACAAAAUGUCAAGGUCACACCAAGGUCAUCAUUGGAGUUCAAUCAAUCAGUCUCUUCUCAUACUUCAGUGAGCUCAUUGCCAUUGCUACCCAGAUCAAUGAACUCCGAGGAUCUGUUGCAGCAGAGCAAAGAUAUUUCUGAAAAAGGAAUGCAGCAAACGGUGUUGGAUGUAGGGGUUCCUGUCAUUGGGAAGCGUAGUUGCUCGGAUGGUGUUUCCAGUACAUGUAAUCAAGAUGUUUCAGCUGAAGUUCCAGUAGCUACUUGUGCUGAAGAACAGAAUCAUAAACAUGGAUCUGUGAAAAAAAUGCACUUGAAUGAUACAAUAACUCUAAAUUCCACAGCCUGUGAUAGCAUUGAAUCAGCAAUCUUGGAUCUGGAAGAACUUGUAAACAGGGUCAAAUGGCUGAAACAGAUUCUGAAGUUUGGAAUUUCUUCAACCCCUCAGGGUCCAACAUGGGAAUAUAUAGAACACCCUCCAGAUUCCGCUCCAUGAGCACUUAUACGUCAUCUUGGUAGGGUAACAGAAUCUCUGGUUCUUCUGAUGGUUCGGAUUUCAAAGCAUAUACUUGCCCUGUGCCUUGGAUGCCCCUCCCUUGCUGUUGUGUCCAUAGCUCGGUUCUCCUGGCGCUUGAAGGAGUAAGACGUCCCCUAGGCCCGGCCUACUCUGAGAGUUUCUGGUCUGAUUCAGAACAGGACACUCCUUAAUUUGAUGUCCUGUUUUCAUACAUUUAAAACAGAUAUUGGGCCCCUCGCCGUUCCUCCCAUAAUGUUCCUUCUUACAUCUCCUGCACUUCCAUUCCUUUUUGCUUCCUUCUACCGUCUUAGUUGGAACCGAUGCUAUGGACGUUUUAGCUAAAUCAGCUUUGAAUUUCUUGUUCCCUACUUGAAUCUUUCUCCGCUCUUCUUUUUCUUUUUCUUUUUCUUGGAACCCUCAUCUUUCUGUUCAAUGCACUCAUGUUCUAGCGCCUGGUCAUAAAGAUCUUCAAAACUGCUAUGCACCUUAAAAUUUUCUUCUGGUACUUCAGAUUCAACCCCCCCCCCCCAAGAACCUAAUAGACUUUACCCUUUCAUUACUGGAAAAUCGGGUGCAAACCUCAAGAGUUCUACAAACUUCGUGACAUACUCCACGAUUGUUAAUUGGCCUUGUUCUAAAAACAUAAUUUCAUUCUCUUUCUUCCUCCUCAGAGGAAGAACUUAUUUCUUAACGUAUGCAUAAAUGUUUCCCUAGAAAAGACGGUUUGGUUUGAUACUUUCUUGCUGGUUGUUCCACCACAUAUCCAUUGGUCCUUCCAGAUAGAAUGAUGCUGCCUUCACCUUUAUAUUUUAGGGGAUUUUGCUACCUCCAGUAGUUUCUCCAUAUAUGCUACCCAAUCUUCAAACUUUACAGAGUCCGCCUUCCCAUUGUAGCCCUGCAUAUUAUGAGCCCCCAACCUCUUGUAAAAUUUACCUUUAUCAUCAUCUUUACGAUUAGAUAUACCUUGGGUUGUUGCAAGGAAUGGUACACACAUUUACAAUGGGAAGACGGACUCUGUAAAGUUUGAAGUUGGGUAGUAUAUAUGGAGAAACUAUUGGAGGUAGUAAAAUGCCCUAAGAAUCUAAAGUUGAAGCCAGUGUCUUUCUAUCUGGAAGGACCGGCGGAUAUGUGGUGGAACACCAUCAAGAAAGUAUCAAACCAAACCGUCUUUUCUUCGGAAACAUUUUUGGAUAAGUUAAGAAAUAAGUUAUUCCCUCUGGCUCCGAGGAGGAAGAAAGAGAAUGAAUUAUGCUCUUCAAAAAUAAGGUCAGUUGACCGUCGUGGAGUAUGCCGCGAAGUUUGUAGAACUCUUGAGGUUCGCACCCGAUUUUACCAUAAAUGAGAAGGGUGAAAAUUAUGAGGUUCUUUGAGGGGUUGAAUCUGAAUUAACAGAAGAGAAUUGGGUUGUAUAGCAGUUUUGAAGAUCCUUACCACCCGGCACUAGAACCUGAGCGCAUUGUACACAAAGAUGAGGAAUACAUCGACAAUGCUAAUUUCACUGCUUGCCUGGCAGGAUCCGGAUUGGGCUACUUCUAUAUUUGGUGUGCGGCCAAUUUAUUAAAUAAAUGCUAUCAACUUCGAUGUGAAUUUUCGGGCUUGGAGAAAAUGCCAUGGCGUACCAAAGACAAGAAGAGGUAGAGUUGGGCUAAGAGUGAAGGAAAAAAGAGCAGAGAAGAAAGAGAUACCUAGGAAGAGAGAGAGAGAGUUGGUCUGACAUAGUGAAGACUGAAGUAGAGAAAUGCACAUAUUUGACCUUUUGUUCUCUUAGUAAGGCAAGUAGAGUUUAGUAAGGAUAAGUAGAUUUUUGCUAUCUUGUCCUGUACUAAACUAUUUGGCAUUUAGAGCAUAUCAACGGGAUUACUAAUCGUCUAGUCGUGGCAAAGACUGUUGCGAUACCCGUCUCAUUCUCUUUGACUGCCAAGUUCGCGGGACUUCUCCACGAGUGUAUAGAUACACGUAGAAGUUAAAUUCCUGUAUUCACUUUGAUUGCCAAGUUCCCGGGAUCCCUCCACAAGUGUAUAGAUACACAUAGAAGUUAAAUUCUUGUAAAUCUGUAACAUCAGGUGUUGUAAUUUCAUGGUGCAGGCUUUAGAGUUGAAAUUUUCAAGCGCUUUACAUGGAGUAGGGAUCUUUAUACACGAUGCAGAUGUAUAAGAGCUAAUGGUGGAUUUUUGACAGCCAUCUUUUAGCUUAUGUUUUAAGCGUUUCUAGUUGAAGAGCCAAAUAGAUGAACUAAAUUUGUCAUUAGAGGUCAAGACUCGAGUCAGUCUUGUGGAACCAAAGCAAAAUCUUGAUAAGGAGAUUUUAAAUUUUGGUUUUGAACU